rnacentral:rRNA from 2 species
UGGCGGACGGGUGAGUAAUGUCUGGGAAACUGCCCGAUGGAGGGGGAUAACUACUGGAAACGGUAGCUAAUACCGCAUAACGUCGCAAGACCAAAGAGGGGGACCUUCGGGCCUCUUGCCAUCGGAUGUGCCCAGAUGGGAUUAGCUAGUAGGUGGGGUAACGGCUCACCUAGGCGACGAUCCCUAGCUGGUCUGAGAGGAUGACCAGCCACACUGGAACUGAGACACGGUCCAG